AAUGAACGCUGGCGGCGUGGAUUAGGCAUGCAAGUCGAACGCGAAAGUUCCCUUCGGGGAGCGAGUAGAGUGGCGAAAGGGUGAGUAAUGCUUGGAUGACCUGCCCUCGAGACGGGGACGAACAGUUCGAAAGGAACUGCUAAUACCCGACUAGUCCGGUUUAGUAUGCGUCUAGAUCGGUAAAUGGUGCUUCCGCUCGAGGAGGGGUUCGAAGUCCUAUCAGCUUGUUGGUGAGGUAACGGCUCACCAAGGCGAUGACGGGUAGCCGGACUGAGAGGUUGGCCGGCCACAUGGGAACUGAGACACUGUCCUGACUCCUACGGGAGGCUGCAGUCGAGAAUCUUCUGCAAUGGGCGAAAGCCUGACAGAGCGACGCCGCGUGGAGGAUGAAGGCCCUCGGGUCGUAAACUACCUGUCACAUGUUAUGAAACGCACAGGUCUACCUGUGCGCUGACAAAAGACAUGAGAGGAAGUCACGGCUAACUUCGUG
rnacentral:rRNA from 1 species